rnacentral:rRNA from 1 species
AAGACGAACGCUUGCGACGUGCCUAAGAAAUGCAAGUCGAACGGGGGUAGCAAUACCUAGUGGCGAACGGUCGCGUAACACGUGGGCAACCUGCCUUGAAGCGGGGGACAACAAUCCGAAAGGGUUGCUAAUACCGCAUGUGAACUUUUGUGGCAUCACGAAAUGUUCAAAGCUUUAUGCACUUCAAGAUGGGCCCGCGGCCUAUCAGCUAGUUGGUGGGGUAACGGCCUACCAAGGCUUCGACGGGUAGCUGGUCUGAGAGGACGAUCAGCCCGGAUUGGGACUGAGAUACGGCCCAGACUCCUACGGGGGGCAGCAAUUAGGAAUCUUGCGCAAUGGGGGCAACCCUGACGCAGCGACGUCGCGUGGAGGAUGAAAUCUUUCGGGAUGUAACUCCUUUACCAGGGAAGAAAAAUGACGGUACUGGUGAAUAAGCCCGGCUAACUACGUGCCAGCAGCCGC